rnacentral:tRNA from 1 species
GGGCUUGUAGCUCAGUUGGUUAGAGCACU